UCGAGGAUCUUCGGCAAUGGGCGAAAGCCUGACCGAGCGACGCCGCGUGUGCGAUGAAGGCCUUUUGGUUGUAAAGCACUGUCGAAGGGGAGCAAGCCGCAAGGUUGAGAGUACCCUUGGAGGAAGCACGGGCUAAGUUCGUGCCAGCAGCCGCGGUAAGACGACCCGUGCGACCGUUAUUCGGAAUCACUGGGCUUAAAGGGUGCGUAGGCGGGUGGGCAAGUCGAGGGGGAAAGCCUCUCGCUUAAC
rnacentral:rRNA from 1 species